rnacentral:rRNA from 1 species
UACGUAGGGACCGAGCGUUGUCCGGAUUCAUUGGGCGUAAAGAGCUCGUAGGCGGCUGCUCAAGUCGAAUGUGAAAACUCGAGGCUCAACCUCGAGCCUGCAUUCGAUACUGGGCGGCUAGAGUCUGAUAGGGGGAUCUGGAAUUCCUGGUGUAGCGGUGGAAUGCGCAGAUAUCGGGAAGAACACCCGUGGCGAAGGCGGUUCUCUGGGACGGUACUGACGCUGAGACGCGAAAGCGUGGGGAGCGAACAGG